rnacentral:rRNA from 1 species
GGUCUUAGCUUGCUAAGGCUGAUGGCGACCGGCGCACGGGUGAGUAACACGUAUCCAACCUGCCGUCUACUCUUGGCCAGCCUUCUGAAAGGAAGAUUAAUCCAGGAUGGGAUCAUGAGUUCACAUGUCCGCAUGAUUAAAGGUAUUUUCCGGUAGACGAUGGGGAUGCGUUCCAUUAGAUAGUAGGCGGGGUAACGGCCCACCUAGUCAACGAUGGAUAGGGGUUCUGAGAGGAAGGUCCCCCACAUUGGAACUGAGACACGGUCCAAACUCCUACGGGAGGCAGCAGUGAGGAAUAUUGGUCAAUGGGCGAUGGCCCGAACCAGCCAAGUAGCGUGAAGGAUGACGG